rnacentral:sRNA from 1 species
UUUGCUGAUCUGCAUCAACUUUUCUUCCACGUCCCCGCCGUGCCGCGACCACUAUUGAUCCCGGUCAAGGUAAGCGCCUGCUUGUGUGGUUAAUCUAGCUCCAACACAAACAGACACGUGCAGGAGGCCGUCAUGUUUCUCGACAAUGUGGUUAUCGCAGGGGUAGUGACGGUCGGUCUCAUGGUGUUGUUCUUCGCAGGUCUGGGUUUUUUUAUCUGGAAAGACGCCCAGAAGCGCAAUAAGUAGCGCCGGGUCUUUCUGGUACACGAGCACGCAAGGCAUUUUGGGCGACUUCGGUCGCCUAUU